rnacentral:rRNA from 1 species
CACGUAGGCACCAAGCGUUGUCCGGAAUUAUUGGGCGUAAAGCGCGCGCAGGCGGUCUCUUAAGUCUGAUGUGAAAUCUCGCGGCUCAACCGUGAGCGGUCAUUGGAAACUGGGAGACUUGAGUGCAGAAGAGAAGAGCGGAAUUCCACGUGUAGCCGGUGAAAUGCGUAGAGAUGUGGGGGAACACCAGUGGCGAAGGCGGCCCGCGUGGGCAGUGGCUGACGCUGAAGCGCGACAGCGUGGGGAGCAACAGG